rnacentral:rRNA from 1 species
UUCCGGUUGAUCCUGCGGAGGCCAAUCCUAUCGGGAUCCGACUAAGCCAUGCGAGUCGAGAGGGUUCGGCCCUCGGCGAACUGCUCAGUAACACGUGGAUAAUCUACCCUUAGGUGGGGGAUAACCUCGGGAAACUGAGGAUAAUACCCCAUAGAUCUAGGAGGCUGGAAUGCGCCUAGAUUGAAAGCUCCGGCGCCUAAGGAUGAGUCUGCGGACUAUCAGGUAGUAGUCAGGGUAACGACCUGACUAGCCUACGACGGAUACGGGUUGUGGGAGCAAUAACCCGGAGACGAUAUCUGAGACAUGAUAUCGGGCCCUACGGGGCGCAGCAGGCGCGAAACCUUCACAAUGCGCGAAAGCGCGAUGAGGGGAUCCCGAGUGCUUGCUCGUAAGAGCAAGCUGUUUCUCUGUCUAAAAAGCAGAGAGAGGAAGGGCUGGGUAAGACGGGUGCCAGCCGCCGCGGUAAUACCUGCAGCUCGAGUGGUGGCCGCUAUUAUUGGGCCUAAAACGUCCGUAGCCGGUCUGGUAAAUGCCUGGGUAAAUCGUGUAGCUUAACUAUACGAAUUCCGGGUAGACUGCCAGACUUGAGACCGGGCGAGGCUAGAGGUACUCCCGGGGUAGAGGUGAAAUUCUGUAAUCCUGGGGGGACCACCAGUGGCGAAGGCGUCUAGCCAGAACGGGUCUGACGGUGAGGGACGAAACCCUGGGGCGCAAACCGGAUUAGAUACCCGGGUAGUCCAGGGCGCAAACGCUGCCUGCUUGAUGUUAGCUGGGCUCCGAGCCCAGCUAGUGUCGGAGCGAAGGUGUUAAGCAGGCUGCCUGGGAAGUACGGUCGCAAGACUGAAACUUAAAGGAAUUGGCGGGGGAGCACAGCAACGGGUGGAGCAAGCGGUUUAAUUGGAUCAACGCCGGAAAU